GACUUUUUAAUAGAGACGGACGUGCCCUCGAUAGAACAACAGGGUUCCACCUUCAGGUGUUUGGGGCUCUGCUGAAAGUGUGGGUCCCCGCGGUGGGGGCUGAACCGCCCUGAGGUGUGAGCAGACAAAGGGUUCCAGAUCCAAGCUGAUUCUUUCCCGCGUUGGGAGUCGGUGCCAUGGCUGUCUCGUAGCUCUUCAUGCAACUCAUAUCAGGUGCUUGAAGAAGGCAGAUUCUGAGGAUCUGUGUCCUGAUGGCCUCAGAAGCUUCUAACUCCAGAUUCAAGGGCAGCAGUCCUCAGGAGACCCCGACACUUCACUCUCCUGGUGGAAAUUGAUGCCUGGCUCAAAGGAGAUGACUUUACCAUCAACAACUCAUAGAGCCCACUGGGAUUUGAAGGAGCAUGAAAGCAAAUAUAUAUGUCACAAGUAUAUAUCCGCUGACCUUUCGUUGUAAAGUUUAAUGAUGGUGGUGAGUUGGUGCCAUCUUGUGACAAAAACCUGAACUGCAGCUUGAACUUCGCGGAGCAGGAAGGUGGGAGGGAGGGGUUGUGGCCCCAAACCAACCAGAGCUUUCUGGAAGUCUGCGUGGAAAGGGGACAUUUCCAAGCUCUUCAUGGUGGUGGCCGAGCUCCUAUCAUGUGCCUGAAGGAGGCAGGUUCUGAGGAUCUGUGUCUGGAUGGCUUCUACUCCAGCAGUCUUCAGGAGAGCCCAUCACCUUACAUCCCUGGUGGGAUAUGGUACCUGGUUGAACUAUUGCACUAUAAUGAAUUACUGGGAUCUUGAGUUGGGGAGAGAAGAGGAAGAAGCUUAUAUAAAUGUGGCCGGCCCCAUUGAUCUCCAGAAAGGAAACAGUACAGAAUAAGAGAGUAUGAAGAUGGGGUUACAACACAACUGACUGGGAACAGAAGACCUGCAUCCAAAAUAUCAGAUAAAUUCUUGCCUACAGGACCAUGGGUAGUCACUUCCUCUUUGCUGACCUCAGCCCUGACACAGAAAAAGAUUAUAUGUCCCAGUGGAUAGGAACACGGGCUUUGUGGAGUGUGAUGUAAGCUUGGGCAUGUUCAACUGCUGGUUUCGUGAUCUUCAUAAAGCAAAUUAUGAGUCUUCAUAUAUAGGAAACCCACAUGUGAUGUAUAUACAUUAUAUAUGCAUGCAUAGAGAAUAUAAUGGGAGAAAAUGAACAAAUGUGAC